rnacentral:rRNA from 1 species
UACGGAGGGUGCAAACGUUGCUCGGAAUCAUUGGGCGUAAAGCGCACGUAGGCGGCCUGAUAAGUCGGGUGUGAAAGCCCUGGGCUCAACCCAGGAAGUGCACUCGAAACUGUCAGGCUUGAAUAUGGAAGAGGGUCGCGGAAUUCCCGGUGUAGAGGUGAAAUUCGUAGAUAUCGGGAGGAACACCAGUGGCGAAGGCGGCUCACUGGCCCGAUACUGACGCUGAGGCACGAAAGCGUGGGGAGCAAACAGG